rnacentral:rRNA from 1 species
GUAAUGAUGGCCAGGCUGUCUCCACCCGAGACUCAGUGAAAUUGAACUCGCUGUGAAGAUGCAGUGUACCCGCGGCAAGACGGAAAGACCCCGUGAACCUUUACUAUAGCUUGACACUGAACAUUGAGCCUUGAUGUGUAGGAUAGGUGGGAGGCUUUGAAGUGUGGACGCCAGUCUGCAUGGAGCCGACCUUGAAAUACCACCCUUUAAUGUUUGAUGUUCUAACGUUGACCCGUAAUCCGGGUUGCGGACAGUGUCUGGUGGGUAGUUUGACUGGGGCGGUCUCCUCCUAAAGAGUAACGGAGGAGCACGAAGGUUGGCUAAUCCUGGUCGGACAUCAGGAGGUUAGUGCAAUGGCAUAAGCCAGCUUGACUGCGAGCGUGACGGCGCGAGCAGGUGCGAAAGCAGGUCAUAGUGAUCCGGUGGUUCUGAAUGGAAGGGCCAUCGCUCAACGGAUAAAAGGUACUCCGGGGAUAACAGGCUGAUACCGCCCAAGAGUUCAUAUCGACGGCGGUGUUUGGCACCUCGAUGUCGGCUCAUCACAUCCUGGGGCUGAAGUAGGUCCCAAGGGUAUGGCUGUUCGCCAUUUAAAGUGGUACGCGAGCUGGGUUUAGAACGUCGUGAGACAGUUCGGUCCCUAUCUGCCGUGGGCGCUGGAGAACUGAGGGGGGCUGCUCCUAGUACGAGAGGACCGGAGUGGACGCAUCACUGGUGUUCGGGUUGUCAUGCCAAUGGCACUGCCCGGUAGCUAAAUGCGGAAGAGAUAAGUGCUGAAAGCAUCUAAGCACGAAACUUGCCCCGAGAUGAGUUCUCCCUGACUCCUUGAGAGUCCUGAAGGAACGUUGAAGACGACGACGUUGAUAGGCCGGGUGUGUAAGCGCAGCGAUGCGUUGAGCUAACCGGUACUAAUGAACCGUGAGG